rnacentral:rRNA from 1 species
CUCAGGAUGAACGCUAGCGGGAGGCCUAACACAUGCAAGCCGAGCGGUAUAGAGUAGCUUGCUACUCUAGAGAGCGGCGCACGGGUGCGGAACACGUGUGCAACCUGCCCUUAUCUGGGGGAUAGCCUUUCGAAAGGAAGAUUAAUACCCCAUAAUAUAUCGAGUGGCAUCACUUGAUAUUGAAAGCUCCGGCGGAUAGGGAUGGGCACGCGCAAGAUUAGAUAGUUGGUGGGGUAACGGCCCACCAAGUCGAUGAUCUUUAGGGGGCCUGAGAGGGUGAUCCCCCACACUGGUACUGAGACACGGACCAGACUCCUACGGGAGGCAGCAGUGAGGAAUAUUGGACAAUGGGUGAGAGCCUGAUCCAGCCAUCCCGCGUGAAGGACGACGGCCCUAUGGGUUGUAAACUUCUUUUGUACAGGGAUAAACCUAUCUACGUGUAGAUAGCUGAAGGUACUGUACGAAUAAGCACCGGCUAACUCCGUGCCAGCAGCCGCGGUAAUACGGAGGGUGCAAGCGUUAUCCGGAUUUAUUGGGUUUAAAGGGUCCGUAGGCGGGCCUGUAAGUCAGUGGUGAAAUCUCACAGCUCAACUGUGAAACUGCCAUUGAUACUGCAGGCCUUGAGUGAAUUUGAAGUGGCUGGAAUAAGUAGUGUAGCGGUGAAAUGCAUAGAUAUUACUUAGAACACCGAUUGCGAAGGCAGGUCACUAAGAUUCAACUACGCUGAUGACGAAUGCGA